AUUGAACGCUGGCGGCAGGCUUAACACAUGCAAGUCGAGCGAGCGGCGGACGGGUGAGUAAUGUCUGGGAAACUGCCUGAUGGCGGGGGCUAACUACUGGAAACGGUAGCUAAUACCGCAUACAAUCAGAUGUGCCCCGAUGGGAUUAGCUAGUAGGUGGGGAAAUGGCUCACCUAGGCGACGCGCCCUAGCUGGUCUGAGAGGAUGACCAGCCACACUGGAACUGAGACACGGUCCAGACUCCUACGUGAGGCAGCAGUGGGGAAUAGUGGACAAUGGGCGCAAGCCUGAUGCAACCAUGCCGCGUGUGUGAAGAAGGCCUUCGGGUUGUAAAGCACUUUCAGCGAGGAGGCGUUACUCGCAGAAGAAGCACCGACUAACUCCGUGCCAGCAGCCGCGGUAAUAC
rnacentral:rRNA from 1 species